rnacentral:misc_RNA from 1 species
CCAACUGGAGGACCAUUACAUGACUAGUUUGCCCGGCAACACGACGCGGAGUUGCUAUAAGCUGAGCAAAAGAAACACCAAACUAGCUGUGGUUGCAGGCCUCGGCGUCUGGUUUGGGUUUUGCUGCCCGGGAGAUGCCUGCGUCGGGGACAUCAUCUGAUCCUGACGAGUAGUCGCCGGUGAAGCUCCAUAGUAUGGCGAGGGAGAAAACGCCCAAGGGUCUUGAGCUGGAUGUGUAGCUGCCUUCGUACAUGUUACCACUCUUCACCACGAUCACCAUCUCGGACUUGUUUCUCAGGAGGAGGUCAAUGACGUGCUCCACGGUGGUUGAAGUAGGUACGCACAGAGGUGGCCCUCUAGACAUUGAAAUAAGAGGUGCGUCCAGCUGGAAAAAAAAAGGAAAAAUGAAGUCCAGAUUCAAAAGAAACUCAAAUUACUGGCAUGAUGUUUUUCAGUGGUGGAAAGCACUUCGAAUCCCUUAUUGUGCAUCCCUACUCUUUUAUUGUAGAGGAAGAUGUAAAACAUCAACCCCCCCCCUAAUUAACCAUAGUUCCAACAUGUUUUCAGUUAAAGGAC